rnacentral:rRNA from 1 species
GUGAGGAAUUUUCCGCAAUGGGCGAAAGCCUGACGGAGCAAUGCCGCGUGAAGGAUGAAGGCCUAUGGGUUGUAAACUUCUUUUCUCAGAAAAGAAUUAUGACGGUAUAUGAGGAAUAAGCAUCGGCUAACUCUGUGCCAGCAGCCGCGGUAAGACAGAGGAUGCAAGCGUUAUCAGGAAUGAUUGGGCGUAAAGCGUCUGUAGGUUGUUUAAAAAGUAUUCUGUCAAAGAUUAGGGCUUAACCCUAGAUAGGCAGAAUAAACUUUUAAGCUAGAGUUUGGUAGAGGCAGAGGGAAUUCCCGGUGGAGCGGUGAAAUGCGUAGAUAUCGGGAGGAACACCAAAGGCGAAGGCACUCUGCUGGGCCAAUACUAACACUGAGAGACGAAAGCGAGGGGAGCAAAUGGGAUUAGAAACCCCAGUAGUCC